rnacentral:lncRNA from 1 species
GGCUGAGAACAAGAAUCCCGGAAAUGGUAAGUCUCUAAGGUAACAGAGCUUCUACUUUUGCUCUUGUGUGGUGAGCUUCUACAUUUGCUUGUGUCGUGGAUUUCACUGCGGUUGUUGUUCUAAUACUUUUCCUCUCUUGCUUUGCUUCAGGCUUUAUUCCAGGGAACUUACACAGUGAUGAUCAUCAAAAGCGGAGCAACGUCGUAUUGUUCGUGCCAGUCCGGUGAAAAGCGUUUCACAGCCGAGGAGAUCCGUAAUGAACGCUCAUAUGCUUUCGUAAGCUGAUCAUAUGUGUCGUCCUUGCUUGCUUUGCUAGGCGGCACAAUGCAAUCUAAGCGAUGAAUCUUUGCCGGGAGAAGGUUUUGUCUUGUUUUUCUGGAGAUCUUCUCGUGUCUCAUCGAAUCGUCGUCCAACUAGCUUACAGGGAGAACAGUUUUUUCUGUCUCAACCUCCAAAAAAUUAUAUAGAAGAGAGCUCUAACAACAGUUAUUUGGAA